UACGUAGGGGGCAAGCGUUGUCCGGACUUACUGGGCGUAAAGCGUGUGCAGGCGGGCCGCUAUGUGCCGUGUGAAAGCUCCCAGCUUAUCUGGGAGAGGUCGCGGUAGACAGGCAGCCUGGAGGCUCGGAGAGGUCAGUGGAAUUCUCGGUGUAGCGGUGAAAUGCGUAGAUAUCGAGAGGAACACCUGCGGCGAAGGCGGGUUGCUGGGCUGACACUGACGCUGAACUGCGAAAGCUAGGGGAGCGAACGGG
rnacentral:rRNA from 1 species